GCUGUGGGAGACACAAGAGGGGGUCACCGACUCAAACCUGGCCACUGCGGGCCUCACCUGGCCAAGGGCUUUGGAAGGACUCCCGUCAAGUUAGAACAGGCCACAGGGACGUGUUUGCAGCUGACAGGCAUUUCCAGACUGUUCAGUCGGAAGACCUCAAUUUAUACCUCGCCCCCCCGGCCACCCCAAGUCAGGAGUGGGUUCCUGCACCCUGUCCACAUGGCGGGUCAGACUUGGGGUCCUUUCCGACCUGCUAGGUGAAAAGGUCUCAAAGCAGAGCAUACCUUCACCUCUUAUUUUUUUGAGAGACAGUGAAGGGGGGGACAGAGGGAGAAUCUCCAGCAGGCCCCCCACUGAGUGCAGAGCCCGACGUGGGGCUCGAUCCCACGACCCUGAGAUCAGGACCUGAGCCAAAGCCAAGAGUCGGAUGCUUAACCGACUGAGCCACCCAGGCGCCGCGUACCUUCUGAAUCACAACAGAACGUGCACACGCACGCGCACACAUGAAACGUCCAGCCCCAUGACUGGCUACGGCUGUGCUCGCCCGAGUGACCCUCCUUCCCCCUUGGCCCGCUCUUCCUCAGGCCCUUUUCUGUGGCCCCGCUGGACUGAGGCAGCGGAGGGGCGAGGAGGGGCGAGGUCCGGCGGGUGUGCAUACCAGGGGCUACUGCAGUAACUCAGGGAAGAAGACCCCCCGCCCCCACCAGAAGCUGACUGAGGACUAAGAUUUCAGGAGACUGGAGGCAGGGAGCAGCGCGUCUGGAAAGCAGCGCUCCGAGCGGCCAUCAAGGGCGUCCCGGGGGCUUCCAGAAGCAGCUGCGUGCGUGAGAGCCGGGACAGUACCUUUUCUUUCCCAGGUCAUCUGCGACUGUACUGAAGUCUUCGUCAUCCUCAACCAGGAGAUUCUACAUUUCAAAACAACGAAUGAACGGUGUUUUCAGACAUCCUUUCAGUCUACAUUUAAGAUAUACGUAAAAAAGACCUCAUCCUGAGGCUGUCCGAAUUUACCUAAACAACCGACACCGAUGAGCCCAGUGCCGGGAACCAGCUCAGCAGGGGGCACGAAGAGCCGGCACCGGAAUGUUCUGCCAGCCCUCGGAUCUCUGCCUCCGGCCACCAAGGCCGCAUGGAGAGCCGGCACGGGGCCACCCCUGGCGGAGCACUGUCACCGUGUCCACAGCUACCCCGUGAGCCUGGGCUGCUAACCCCCUGGCCUCCCCUGCGGUUGUCGCCACGGGACUCUGCAGAUGCAGGCCACCCCCACGGUCUCCUGAGGGGCUCGUAGUCGGUUUCAUACACGAUGUCAUCCCCCAUCAACACGGGCCGCCCCCAGGCCUGCCUCAGCCAGCGGCGCCCCCGAGCGGCGCCCUAGGAAGGACUCAUCACCUCCCUCGUGUGCCUCUGGGAGAGGCGACCGGCUCCCGCGGAGCCGCGGGAGGGUCUUGCUGCGUCCACACAUGGCUCCCAGGGGAGAAGAACGUAACAACCGUGCGGACCUCUAUUCCAAUCAAAGGUGCGUAUGUUUGUAUUCCAGCAGCCGUGUGUGCUGUGCUUUCUAAAAAGCGUCGAACGCUACGAAGAACGUAGAGGUAACGGGACAGACACCCGGGUCCUCAGCGUGGCACGUCACCUCCCCAUCCCGAGACAGCCGCCCCUCCCACUGUUGUCCUGGGAGUUCGAUGGAGCUACGCGUGUGGAUGCGCGUGGUGCUCCGUACAGGAAAAAAACGCUCAGUGGAAGUUCGCUAUUAACAGUAUUAAGCUUCGACCCUACUUGCUUCAUUUUUCAACGAAAACCCACAGAUUCAAACGCUGGCCUUCUGCCAUUCCGCAGGGGUGAGCACUCUCGUUCCCGUCCUCCCCGGGCCUUGACGACUACCCGGGAGCGUGACCCUCCGUGACGCUCAGCAUGUUACAGGCUUUACGUUCGCGGUGAGGGGCCCCGCUGUUUUCGACUGUUUUCAACACUCAGUCACGCGCUGUCUGCACGCUCCCACGGAGCUCCAGCGUACUGACCGUGACUGCCCCCGUCCCGAGGGCCACCAUUCUUCCCAGUUGGUGCUGUCACGCCCGGUGCUCCAGAGACGCCCCCACCUGUCCCCUUCCCCGGCUGUGCGCGCUGCACCCUGGGUCUUACGGACGGGGGGACACCGGCGCCAGGCUGUCCGUACGGUCUCCUGCACAGAGAACGGCUUUACGCUUUCCUUUGAGAAUCUCCUCUAUUUCUCUCUCAACGUUUAUUUACUUUUCUUUGGGGGGAGGAGGCUCAUGCCACCCGGUUUAGCACAGUGCUGAAGUGAUGGUUAAGGGAAUGCUUAUUCCUUGGUGUGAAAAUAUCGAUUAGCAAUUUAAUCCUUAAAUCAAGGAUUAAACUUAUUAAUUCUUGAUAUACAAAUACCGCUACGUGACAAAGUAGGCUUACCUACGGCAGGCAAGGACGGCUCUGUCACCUUAUGUAACAGACACCACACUAAAGACGGACAGCCAGAGAGCUCAUCCAACAGGUGUAGAAACAGCGGGAAUUUUAUAUGGCAAGUGCUCACUCAGGAUUGGAAGAAAAAAAAAAAAACUUAAGAGCAAACUAGGCAGGGAAGGAAAGUCUUAGCCUGAUGCAAGGACCUACCCCAAACCUACAGCAAUGCACUUUGGGAUAAAACUUCAAAAGCAUUUUCAUGCAAGUCCAACCCAAGAUUAAGGUUUUGAUACUGAGGUUCUACUGGCCUCAUGAAAUGAGCGGUCUGGCUUUCCCUCGUUUUCCGUUCUCUGAAACAAUGUACGGAAGACAGGAUUAUCUGAACCUUGAAGAUUUGAUACAACUUCUCUGUAAAGUCAGUGAUCCUGGUGUUUUACUGAAGUGGUAAAUUUGCUGUUAAAUAACUUACCUUAAUACCAAUUGUGUCUCCGUCUUUCAAGUAAUAAGGCGCCCCCUGCAAAUUAUCUUGCUUUUUCUUCUUUUUUCUCUUGGUAAGUUGCUGGUUCUAUAGAAAAAUCAAGCAUCUUGAAUAAAGAAAACUCACAUUCUUACUAAGUUCCCUAUGUGUGAAAAAUGGCCCUUAACCCAUUCACUAUGCCAGGAAGGCCCAGUGUCCCGGAGAAAGCCUGCAACUUUACCCAGCUCGAUAUCGGAAGCCACUCAAACUUUUCGGGGAAGUACUUGGCAAUUUCAAUCUUCUCCACGGGAAGAGAGCAGAAGUGGGCGACUCGCUGCCUCAGGGAGCCAGCCGUCCAGCCUCGGGCCGUGUCCCACACCAGGUCCACGCACGGGGCGUAGGCCCUCUCGCCGGGGAGGCGCAUCUGCGUCCUUAGCACCACGUCCUGGGGGCUGUGCCGGGAAACAAACAGAGUAAGUUCGCAGUAACCAUGGGGGAAACGUGAUGGGCGAAGCUUCCCCUCGACUCCGACUCUUCUGGUUUUUAGAAGGACAGAUUUGUCCCCAGACCCGCUAACCCUCUUCUCUACUUUGCUUUCCUUCUGCCCUGACCCACAGCUGCGCCCCAGGAGAGGCUGCUUUCAGAACCAAAAGCUCCGUUAGCUGCGGUGGGGUGGCCAGGGAGAAGCAAGCGAGGGCUCAGUGCUGGAAGGGGGGGCCCGGCAGAAAGUCAGAUGUAUGGAGCCGGUUACAGGACAGGAGGCGCCAGCCGGAAGGUGGGGAGGGAGAAGGGAAAGCGUGUAUGUGCGUCUAGGCUGCUGAGACCGUGUGCGAUUUUACAUGCUGGAUUUCAGUUAUAUUUCGGUUACAGGGGUGCUUUUACCAAAAGAAAGGGUGACAUCGAUGGGAGAAAAGGAACCACCGGAGGCAACGGCCCCAGGGAGAGAGCAGGCCUGGCUGGGCGGGAGCGGGCCAAACAAGUGCCCUGCAUGGUCUUCAAAGGGACACCGCUUACAAGAACGGGACAAAGGGUCAAUGUCAUUGUUUCAGAAAGCUCUCACAAAUUCGACUUUUCUGAGACCCCUUUACAAAAAAUGAUAAGCUUUUGAGAAAAAUGCCUGCUCUUGCUAGCAAUCAACGCACCGAAGCAAAUGAGACAACAUAACCAUUUCCUCAUUGAUCAAUUUAGCAAACAAUUAAACAAUGAAAAUAUUCAGUGUUGGUUUGAGGGUGAAGUAAAUACUCAGGAACACUGCUUGUGCGAACAUAAACUGGAAUAACGUACCUGGAAAGGAACCGAGCAGUUUUAAGAAGUUUAAAAUGUCCAUACCAGUUUGAUCCAGAAAUCCCCCUCCAGGAAACAAUUCCUGGUAAUACAGUUUCCUGUGAGAACGCACUUUUAUAAAAGCAGUGGGGUUAAGUGAGGGUUAGACGGGGCUGAAGGAGAGCUCCUGGUUCCUACACAGCAGCAGGAAUGGUAUUUCCGUCACAUCAGGUAGAGGCAACCUUACUGUUUGGUGAUGCUGACAGAAGGUCUUAUACAAGAGUUUCGUAUAAUGAAAAAAGAAAUAGGAAGGCUUGACUACGACACAGGUAGUGGGGACAGAGCAGCGAGUGCAGAACUUACGUCACACACGGCUAUCUCCGACGUCAGGUGGUGUGACGAGAAGCAGGGUAAGGGGGCGGGGACAGGUGCUGAGAACAGACUGUCUCGAGGCACAGAUAAGGGCUGGGAAGGAGCAUCUUGCUUACACUUUGAGAUCAUUAUGGAGUCAAUAUGCAUUUGUGACUCACGGUUUUCAUGGAAAGAUGAGCUCCAACUCCCAGAUGCCAGACGCACAAACGCAUUUGUAGAACACAGUCUGGUUUAAGUUGCCGUGCGGCUCAGGCAGUGGGGACGAACCCUUUACUACCGAGCAUACUGUUAGGUUUUUCAAGAAACUACGCACCAUGAUAAGACAAGGACACAGAAGCGGGUCUGACUUACCCCAAAUUUUCUUCUUUCUGAAGGAGCUCUAAGCAGAUCUCAGUUUUCCUUCCCAGUUUGUAUUCCCUGAUAAAAGAAAUGAAACAAAAUAAUACUGAGUGAUAUAUUUAAUUUUUUAGAUUUUUUGGGAAAAAUACUAAGCUUUCUUUUUUAAGCAAAAGAUUAUAGUGAGUAAGAACACUCAAAAUCUGAGAGACUACUAUGAACAAGUAGAUGCUGACAAGCUGGGUGAAAUGGAUAGAUCUUGGAAGGCACUAAGUCAUAAAUAGAAAAUCUGAACAGACUAAUUACUAGUAAGGGAACUGAGUAAGUAAUCAAAUACCUCCCAACAAAGAGAAGUCCAGGACCAGAUGGUUUCACUGGUGAAUUCUAACAAACAUUUCAAGAAUUAAUACCAAUCCUUCCCCAGCUCUUCCAGAAGACAGAAGAGCCAUCACAAGGCCAGGGUUAUCCUGAUACCAAAACCAGACAAGGGUACUACAAGAAAAGUUACAGACCAAUAUCCCCGCUGAGUAUAGAUGGAAAAACACUCAACAAAAUAUUCGCAAACCAAAUCCAACUCCUACAUCACGAUCAAGUAGGAUUUAUUCCGGGGACUCAAGGGUGGUUCAAUGUCUGCAAAUCAAUCACUGUGAUACAGUAACAAAGUGAAGGACUAAAAAAAAAAAAAUCAAAUCAUCAUCUCAACAGAUGAAGGAAAAGCAUUUGACAAAAUUCUACAUCCUCUCAUGACAACUACACUGAACAAACCGGGUAGAGAAGAAACCUAACUGGACACAAUAAAGGCCAGACACCAGCAGCUAAUCCACUGAGCGCUGCAAGUCUGCACGCCUGUCCCCACCACAGGGAGAAGGCAGGGAUGCCCGCUCUCGCCACUCUUUAACGCGCUACUGAAGUCCUACCCAGAGCAAUUCGACAAGGAAAAUAAAAGGCAUCAAAUUAUAAAGGAAAAUGUAAAACUACCUCUACUUACAGAUGACAUGAUAGUCCAUGUAGAAAACCCUAAACACCAAAGAACUAAAUAAAUUCUGUAAAGUUGCAGGAUACAAAAUCACGAUACAAAAAUCACUUAAUAUUUUAUACACUAACAGUGAACUAUGAGGAAAACAAAUUAAGAAAACAGUCCUAUUUAUAAGCACAUCAAAAAAAAAAAUAUGCAGAAAUAAAUUUAACCCAGGAGGUGAAAGAUCUACAUGCUGUAAGACAUUGAUGAAAGAAACUGAAGACACAAAGAAAUGGAAAGAUAGUCCAUGUUCAUGAACUGGAAUAUUAUUAAAAUGCCCACAUUACCCAGAGUGAUCUCCAGAUUCAAUGCGAUCUUCAUCAAAAUUUCAAUGGCAUUUUUCACUGAAAUAGGAAACCAAUCCUAUUGUAUUGGUUUGUAUGGAACCACAAAAGAUCCCAAAGAGCCAAAGCAAUCUUGAGAAAGUAGAACAAAGCUGGAGGCAUCACUCUUCUUGAUUUCAGACUACAGUAAUCAACACAGUAUGGUAUUGGCGUAAAAGUAGACACAAAGAUCAAUGAAAAGAACAGAGCUCAAAAAUAAACAUGCACAUAUGGCUGAUGAAUUUACAACAAAGGAGCCAAGAGCACACAACGGGGAACAGACAGUCUCAGUCUCUUCGGUAGAUGGUGCUGGAAAACUGGUCAGCCACAUGGGACAGAAUGAAGCUGGACUGCUAGUUUACGCCAUACCCAAAAAUCAGCUCAAACGGAUUAAAGACUAGACUGUAAGGCCCCAAACCAUGAAACGCCUAGAAGAAAACACAGGAGGUAAGCUCCUUGACAGUGGCCCUGGCAAUGAUUUUUUGGAGUUGAUACCAAACGGAAAGACAAGAAAAGGAAAAAUAAGCAAGUGGGACUGCAUCAAAUUAAAAAGCCUUUGCACGGCAAAGGAAACCAUCAACAAAAUGAAAAAGCAACCUAUGAAAUGGGUGAAGAAAUCUGCAAAUCAUGUGAUAGAGGAUUAGUAAAGAACCCAUGCAGCUCAAGAGCAAAAAAACCCCAAACAGUACCAUUAAAAAAGUGGGCAGAGGAACUGACACUUUUCCAAAGAAGAUCUACAGAUGGCCCCCAGGUACAUGACCGUCACUCAUCAUCAAAGAAGUGCAAAUCACAACCACAGUGAGAGACCUCCUCCCCCUUGUCAGAAUGGUUAGCACCAAAAAGACGAGAUCAAUGUUGGCAGGGACAUGGAGGAAAGGGGAACCCUUGUGCACUGCUGGUAGGAAUGUGAAUUGGUGAAGCCAAUUUUUUGGAGGUUCCUCAAAAAUUUAAAAAUAGAACUACCCAUAUGACCUAGCACUUCUGGGUUUGUAUCUGAAGGAAAUGAAAACAAUUUCAAAAGAGCUAUCUGCGCUCCCAUGUUCAUAGCAGCACUGUUCACAACAGCCAAGACAUGGAAACAACCCAAGCACCGUCCGUCAAUGGAUGGAUGGAUGGAUGGACAGGCAGGUGGGGGGAGUAUCAUUCAGCCACGAGAAAGGGAGACAUCCUGUCAUUUGUGACAACAUGGCUGACCUUGAGGGCAUUAGACUAAUAGUGAAGUGUGAAGAGGAGGACCAAUCCUGUAUGAUCUCACAUACAUGUGGAAUCUAAAAAGGCCAAACUCAUAGAAACAGAGAGUACAUGGUGGUUUCUAGGAGCUGUGAGGUGGAGGAAAGGAGAUGCUGGUCAGAGAGGCCAGACUUCCAGUUACAAGAGAAGUAAGUUCAGAGCCUCUCAUGUCCAGCAUGGUGCUUACAGUUAACAACACCGUGUUACAGAUUGGAAAGUUGUUCAGAGAGUAGAUCUUGAAUGUUCUUAUGACAACAAAGGAACGGUAAUUACGUGACGCUACCCAGGGGCUGGCUAGCAAAACGGCGGCAAUCAUUUUAAACAUACGCAGCGCUGUACGUCAGUUAUAUCCCAAUAAAGCUCGAAAAAUUCAACAUUUCGUUCAUGGUAUCUGAAGCAUAGUAAAAAUACACGGAGCUACAUUUAUGCUUAAUAUGGAAAAUGAAAGGCCCAGAGUGUGUGACCGGAAGAGUCAUCCAGCCGACAGCAGGCCGCCCGACUCCCCCCUGCCGGGCCCUCGCGGCGGAGGAAAGACGGCGCUUCCCGCGAGGAACCUACUUGAGCUGCUGCCGGUUGGUUCGUAAAAGCCUGCCGGGGCGCUGGCUCUCCACGGUCCAGGCUCUGAGGAAGGCUGGGGAGGGGAUGACGAACUCCGAGGAGGAGGACAAGGUCAUGGCCUAGAAAGGAAACGACAUUUCUCCAAUGGUUUAAGAAGCUCUCUGAACACACACACUGCUUUAGGAAGACACGAAGCACUACACAGGGACGUCAGAGGGAGGAGUGCCUCGAGGAAUGAUAAACUCUAUUAAAAAAAACAUCCCAGGGCUGUCUCUUAAAUGAAAUCCAUCCAGUCACUUCUGUCUUCCUCUCUGGGGAAGCCAGCUUGAGGGAUAAGUGGAUUUCCCAAUGAGCCAAAAGCUCCUUUUAAAUCCUAUUUCAGAAAGUGAAACUUAGAAAUUAAUUUCUAUGUGAGUAUAACUCGCAAGAGCUCUAACGAAAAACGGGGGUUCACCUUCCACUUUCUUUAGUGCUAGUAUAGUUCUUCAAAGUUGGCUCUGUCAGUGAAAGAACUUCCAUUUGAAGUGUCCCGGAAUCUUUGGACGCGACUGCUGUGCCUAAACUUCUGUACUCGGUGUGCAGGGCAGGUAGCUAUUUAUAGAUUGAGGUUGUAAUAUAUAAAAUGGCCAAUAUUCAUUUUUUAUCCGAAAACAGCAAUUUUGUAUUUCUCAAUCCAAUACAAAAAAAAAUCUGUUUUUUUAAUUGCCAUUGUCUCAUGGCAACCAUUUGCUUCUUUCGAGGAAGGUUAUCUCAAACGCUGUGCACACACAGGAAAAUCCAAUAUCGACGGCUGAUAACUCGCGUUGUGCGCCCCGACGACAGUAAGAUGCUUCUGAAGCAUUCUGUGUCCUACGCAGCUCAGCCUUUCCAUUUGGACCUAACACUCUCUCUCACUAGGAAUGUGAAUAUGUAAGAAAAGGAUAUAGUAUCUUGUUACACAUCCUAGGACACAUCUUUAAACUGAAAACAUUUAACACAUGGAUCACAAUGAUACAAAAACAAUGUAAAUAAAGGAGUAAAGUGAAUGCUUUACGGAUGUGUCAAUACAUCAUGUUUCCCGUAGAAAUCAAAAUGAACAUAAGCUGCAAGUCACCGAGGAGGAAUUCAAAUGAAAGCGCACAGCAUGCCCGUCUGAGUGGGGACACAUGACAGCCACAGGACGAGUGGCAGAAACAAGCACCAGGGCUGUGUGAGCCGAAUGCGGGCGUGCCUGCCGGGUACUUACCACUGAACGUGGCACAGAACACAUGCCCUAUCAGAACAGACUGCAAGUGAGGGAAAAGGAAAUAGAAGAAGGUAUUAUUAAUAUCUCACUGGAAGAAGCCGGGCCACCACUACCAUGUGCCACAGGAAGAAGCCUGACCUGGGACUUCAGCUCUGCCACGGUGGCAUCUUCGGAGAUCUCGAGGUCCCCCAAGUAGCGGAGGGAAACCUCCCCGUGCAGGUCACCAGGAGCGCCUACAGAGGACAGAGGCAGGUGUCAGAAAGGAGUGUGGACUGUAUUGACUUCCUACUUCUGAAACACACACCGUGUUUUGGGUGUUACAGUUUUAGCACAGCCCCAUUCAAGAAACGGGAUCUAUCCUGUUUGUCUCUCCAGUGCUUGGGAUGGUGGCUGCCACACAGUAAACGGCCAAUAAAUGUUUACGACCGAAAGAAUCAUUGACAAUAAGAAGGACUUUCUACAUUUACUUUUAAAAGGUGAAAACAAAAUGUUCUCUUAUCUAAAAUUCUAGAUAUAAAAAUUGGUAACCAAAUUUAAAAUUCAGAAUAACUUCACUCAUUUUUGCUCUGUUGAUUGCUAGGCACACUGCUAAUACAUAACUAAGAAAUUAGAUGAAGUAAAUCAAGUGAAAAAGCUCUCUUCCUGAGUGGUUCUUCUGUCUUAAGGACACCAUGAGCUGGCACCACCUGGAAGAUACUUUUAGGAAACUCAGGAAUGAAAGACUACUUCCCAGAUGUUGUGAUAUAGAAGGACUAUCAAAAAAUGAACUGUUUACUUUCAUGGAGAAAGACAUUGCUUUUUAAGUUUAUAUGCAAUUGUACAUGUAAUUAUUAUUCUACCACCAAAGUAUUUUUAGAAUUAGUGCCUGUCUCAUGUAACCCAAACAAACAAAAAAACUUAAUGCCAAUUUCACAGGUAAUUCAAUACGAAGUAUUUUACUGCUCUACACAGAUAACCCUAGCUUGACAGUAAAGGGAUAAAAAUGUGACUCACUUAUGUUAAUUUCAGUACUGAGGUUUAAAAGGUAAAAAGAAAUAUUAAGUGUAUGUUACUUCAAGGCACUAAAAAGGCUAAUUAAGUGAAACAUAAUAAACAGAAAAAAAUAUAUAAAGUCGGUCCUACCAUAAAUAUAUUCUGUUCAUUUAGUUAGGAAGGAAAUUAAUUUGUGUUUUUUUCCUUUUUUUUUUUUAAAGAUUUUAUUUAUUUAUUUGACAGAGAGAGAGAGCACAAGCAGGGGGAGCGGCAGGGAGAAGCAUUCUAUGGUUUUAAUAGGUUUUGAUUUUUCAACCUUACACUUAAGACACAAACUUCAUCGGCCUCUCAGAGUGGAAGCAGCCAUUCUAUUCUUCAUGACAUGCCGGCUGCUACAAUUCUGUUCUCACCUUGGGUGGAAGCAGCCCUCCAGACCCCACCUGGAGAAGGGGUACCGGUCCUCUGGUCCGGAUGACUCUUCCAGUGACCCGUGGGCCCCCAAGGCUGGUACCACCAGACGGGCACCUUCAGGAAACCCUGAAGAAUGGAGCAUUUCUAACUGUUGUGAGGUACACGGAUUAACUGAAUUUCUACUUUCACAGAGAGAGAAAUAUCUUGGUAACAGCAAAUGUUCCUGAAUUUAUUAUUUCUCCUUUUAGAUGUAUUAACUGCCAUGUACUAUACCUGCUUAUUGUUUUUACAAUCAAAAAUUUAAGGUCAUAAAAAUUAGUCUUUGGGAUGAUUGGGACUCAGGGUUCUUUGCUUAGAAGUAUCUUCGUAAAUAUACUAGUUUGUAGUAUCUUACUACAAUCAGUGAAAAGUCUAAACGAAGUAUCAAAACACCGGACAGAACAAACUAUACAAAUAAUUUCAGGCCUGGUAAGGGCACCACCAGCACAAUGCUCCAGUCAGCGGCAGUUUUCACUCAUUAAAGUUCCUACAGGAACUUUAUAAAGAAGCAGGAACCUAUUGCUCUAAGUUGGAUUCCUGUAUAGAAACUACAUGAAAUAAAACUGAUCUACUAGCCCCCACACACAAAACCAUAAAUGCACACUGUUUAUGGUAGCAAAACCCACGAACCAACCUCAAGGUCCCUCUUUAGAAGACUAGUUACAUUACGGGAGGCCAGGACUUUUGACAAAGUGGUUUCAGUUCUAGAACUUACCCUAUAGAUACAUACAUGCCAAAUGGCAUAUAUAUAUUUUUUGCAGUGUGAUUUGUAUCAACAAAAGACUGGAAACCACCUAAAUCCUUGAAGAGACUGGCUGAAAAAAUUAUGGUGCCUCCAUACAAUGGAAUAUUCCACAGCCACCCAACAGAAUGAAAUACCUGUAUGUGUACUAACACAACAUACAUAUGGAGAUAAAUAUUAAUGGAAAAAGCGAGGUACAGAGUAGGAUGUCUAGCAAAUAAUCUGUGUAAAAAAAAUAUGUACGUAUACAAACGUAUAUACGUUCUAUGUACACGCACAUACACACAGGUACACUGCAAGGUAUGUACUUCUGGAAGGAUGCAGUGGAAACUGGCUGCCUACAGAGGGAGGACACUGAGGGGCUGAAGGGCGGGGGGAUACUUACUUUUCCUGGCCCAGCUUUUUAUACACUCCGAAUUUCGUAUUAUGAAUAUUACCAAUUAGUAAGUCAAUUUUAAACAUCACAGAAUAAAAUAUAAUUCUAUGAAGUGAUGCAAAAGAAUAAGGUAGGCCUGUGUGUGCGGAUGUGGGGAGAUCCUCAAGAUACAUGAAGUGAAUAAAAACAGGUGUAAAACAACAUACAGAAUACGAUCCCCUGUGUGUGAACUUUAAAAGGGAUAUGCACAUAUUUACAUUCUGCAUACAAACGCGUAACUUUUCUUGGAAGGAUAUACAAAGGAAAGUAAGUUAAUUCUGACUCACUCUGGAGAGAAAAAAAACGGGAAAAACUCUCUUCAUUUUAUAGCCUGCCAUGUCUUUUGAAUUUCCUAAUCCUAAGCCAGUGGUUAUCUAAGUGCUGGAAUCUGGGGUCAUUUUUUAAACUUUCAUCUUUACGUGUGUCCACCUUAAAAAUAACCUAAUAAAGAAUGGUCUUAAAAA